UGAAGUUGAAAAUGAAGUUGAAAAUGAAAAUGUGGAUAUAAAGAAAAAGAUGCGUUAUUAAUUGACUUAAUAAGAUCGUAUCCACAUUUAUGGAACAAAGAAGAUAAAGAUUACAAAGAUGUAAAUAAAUGUGACAAGUCGUUGGUAAGAAAUAGCUAUUGUAAUGCGUUUAUCCGUAAAGGAAUGUAUAAGUCGAUGGUGUAGAUUAUGACAGUAUUAUUCAAAGGAAAGACAAAGCCAAGAAAAUAUACGAAGCGGUUCUGUACCUAUUGUAGAAAGAAAAGACCAUGGAAAUUAUAUGAACAAAUGUUAUUUAUAGACAACCAUAUAUACAAAAGAAGACGAAGAUAUACCAACAUCAAUAGAACAAUAAAUGACCCUUACAGUUAAAUGUAAGUCAGUGAGAAACACGCAAUAAAUAUUUAAAUUUAAACAUAACAAAUGAGAAUAAUAUUA